rnacentral:rRNA from 1 species
GCUCCCGGAUGUUAGCGGCGGACGGGUGAGUAACACGUGGGUAACCUGCCUGUAAGACUGGGAUAACUCCGGGAAACCGGAGCUAAUACCGGAUAGUUCCUUGAACCGCAUGGUUCAAGGAUGAAAGACGGUUUCGGCUGUCACUUACAGAUGGACCCGCGGCGCAUUAGCUAGUUGGUGGGGUAAUGGCUCACCAAGGCGACGAUGCGUAGCCGACCUGAGAGGGUGAUCGGCCACACUGGGACUGAGACACGGCCCAGACUCCUACGGGAGGCAGCAGUAGGGAAUCUUCCGCAAUGGACGAAAGUCUGACGGAGCAACGCCGCGUGAGUGAUGAAGGUUUUCGGAUCGUAAAGCUCUGUUGUUAGGGAAGAACAAGUGCGAGAGUAACUGCUCGCACCUUGACGGUACCUAACCAGAAAGCCACGGCUAACUACGUGCCAGCAGCCGCGGUAAUACGUAGGUGGCAAGCGUUGUCCGGAAUUAUUGGGCGUAAAGGGCUCGCAGGCGGUUUCUUAAGUCUGAUGUGAAAGCCCCCGGCUCAACCGGGGAGGGUCAUUGGAAACUGGGAAACUUGAGUGCAGAAGAGGAGAGUG